rnacentral:rRNA from 1 species
UACAGAGGGUGCGAGCGUUAAUCGGAAUUACUGGGCGUAAAGCGCACGUAGGCGGCUUGGUAUGUCGGGUGUGAAAUCCCCGGGCUCAACCUGGGAACUGCAUUCGAUACUGCCGUGCUUGAGGACUGGAGAGGAGACUGGAAUUUACGGUGUAGCGGUGAAAUGCGUAGAUAUCGUAAGGAAGACCAGUGGCGAAGGCGGGUCUCUGGACAGUUCCUGACGCUGAGGCACGAAGGUCAGGGGAGCAAACGGG